rnacentral:rRNA from 1 species
GGAUGAACGCUAGCUACAGGCUUAACACAUGCAAGUCGAGGUGCAGCAUCAUCAAAGCUUGCUUUGAUGGAUGGCGACCGGCGCACGGGUGAGUAACACGUAUCCAACCUGCCGACAACACUGGGAUAGCCUUUCGAAAGAAAGAUUAAUACCGGAUGGCAUAGUUUUCCCGCAUGGGAUAAUUAUUAAAGAAUUUCGGUUGUCGAUGGGGAUGCGUUCCAUUAGGCAGUUGGCGGGGUAACGGCCCACCAAACCUACGAUGGAUAGGGGUUCUGAGAGGAAGGUCCCCCACAUUGGAACUGAGACACGGUCCAAACUCCUACGGGAGGCAGCAGUGAGGAAUAUUGGUCAAUGGACGAGAGUCUGAACCAGCCAAGUAGCGUGAAGGAUGACUGCCCUAUGGGUUGUAAACUUCUUUUAUACGGGAAUAAAGUGAGCCACGUGUGGCUUUUUGUAUGUACCGUAUGAAUAAGGAUCGGCUAACUCCGUGCCAGCAGCCGCGGUAAUACGGAGGAUUCGAGCGUUAUCCGGAUUUAUUGGGUUUAAAGGGAGCGUAGGCGGGUUGUUAAGUCAGUUGUGAAAGUUUGCGGCUCAACCGUAAAAUUGCAGUUGAUACUGGCGACCUUGAGUGCAACAGAGGUAGGCGGAAUUCGUGGUGUAGCGGUGAAAUGCUUAGAUAUCACGAAGAACUCCGAUUGCGAAGGCAGCUUACUGGAUUGUAACUGACGCUGAUGCUCGAAAGUGUGGGUAUCAAACAGGAUUAGAUACCCUGGUAGUCCACACAGUAAACGAUGAAUACUCGCUGUUGGCGAUAUACAGUCAGCGGCCAAGCGAAAGCAUUAAGUAUUCCACCUGGGGAGUACGCCGGCAACGGUGAAACUCAAAGGAAUUGACGGGGGCCCGCACAAGCGGAGGAACAUGUGGUUUAAUUCGAUGAUACGCGAGGAACCUUACCCGGGCUUAAAUUGCAACUGACGGAACCGGAAACGGUUCUUUCUUCGGACAGUUGUGAAGGUGCUGCAUGGUUGUCGUCAGCUCGUGCCGUGAGGUGUCGGCUUAAGUGCCAUAACGAGCGCAACCCUUACGGGUAGUUACCAUCAGGUUAUGCUGGGGACUCUACCCGGACUGCCGUCGUAAGAUGUGAGGAAGGUGGGGAUGACGUCAAAUCAGCACGGCCCUUACGUCCGGGGCUACACACGUGUUACAAUGGGGGGUACAGAAGGCAGCUACACGGCGACGUGGUGCUAAUCCCAAAAGCCUCUCUCAGUUCGGAUUGGAGUCUGCAACCCGACUCCAUGAAGCUGGAUUCGCUAGUAAUCGCGCAUCAGCCACGGCGCGGUGAAUACGUUCCCGGGCCUUGUACACACCGCCCGUCAAGCCAUGAAAGCCGGGGGUACCUGAAGUACGUAACCGCGAGGAGCGUCCUAGGGUAAAACU